GAUGAACGCUGGCGGCGUGCUUAACACAUGCAAGUCGAACGGAAAGGCUCCUGCUUGCAGGGGUACUCGAGUGGCGAACGGGUGAGUAACACGUGGGUGAUCUGCCCUGCACUUCGGGAUAAGCCUGGGAAACUGGGUCUAAUACCGGAUAGGACCACAUUUUGGAUGGUGUGGUGGAAAGUUUUUCGGUGUGGGAUGAGCUCGCGGCCUAUCAGCUUGUUGGUGGGGUAAUGGCCUACCAAGGCGUCGACGGGUAGCCGGCCUGAGAGGGUGUACGGCCACAUUGGGACUGAGAUACGGCACAGACUCCUACGGGAGGCAGCAGUGGGGAAUAUUGCACAAUGGGCGCAAGCCUGAUGCAGCGACGCCGCGUGGGGGAUGACGGCCUUCGGGUUGUAAACUCCUUUCGCUAGGGACGAAGCGCAAGUGACGGUACCUGGAGAAGAAGCACCGGCUAACUACGUG
rnacentral:rRNA from 1 species